GCUAUAAGCAGACUGCACAAAGACUAGUCUGACAAAGCCAGGACUUAGGUCAUCUGACUAAGAAUUACCAUUUCGUUUUAUUUUCUCUGUCAUCUCCAGUUUGUGAUUCUAUUCUAUCUGAAAACUUCUGUCAUGGGGCUGUAUCCAUCAUCAGGCAGAAAAGUUACAAUCAGUGUCUCCGGCUACAAGGUGUUGAAAGAUUAUCCACCUGACUGAGCCUGAAUCUCUAAGACUUGCUCCUGGAUUCAGAGAUUGAGAAAGAAAGGAAUCUCAACUUUUGGAAGAGAUUUUGGAGCUCACCCGAUUCCCAAUGUCUGCCUGACAGAAGAUGGAAGUGGUGACCUUGGACAAGUGAGAGACCUGGGGAGGGCCCAGAGAGCCCACCCCACCUAUGAAGACCAUCUGCUCUCAGCUCCAGCUGGUAGAUUACAGGAACAGUACAACGAGAGCAACUCUUAACAAGCUGUCCAAAACCUCCACAUAUACAUCUGUACGCAAAUGCUUCCAAUUUUUACAUGCUGGCAAUUAAUGUACAAAAAAUUUUGAAAGCAUUAUGGGAGCCAAACACAACAUGUCUCUUGGCUGAACUGAGACGGGGCCUCGAGUGGAAUCCAACUUUCUUGAUUUUUACAGAGACCUAGGCCAAGGCCCAGAGAGUAGUAGAAUCACUUUGCAUAGGUCCCAGGGCCAGGGUCAAGAGAAUAUCUUGGGCAAGACCCAGUUCCCCUUUGAGCUUGCCCUCUUUUCUCAGCUGGAUAGCAGACAUUUGACACAGCAGCAGCUUGCUUCUGACAUGGGAUAAACACACAUGUCAAUCAGGCUGUAAGGAACACCUGAGCCUCGGCUACAAAUAGAAGGCUCAGCUUCCAAGAUCCACUGGCUACCCUGCAUCUCAGCUACAGCCAAGGGCUCCGCUUCAUUUGGAUGGGUAUGGGAAAGAGAGGAAAGGUGGGAAUUUUUACCCUUGGGGAGUCCAUGGGAGGAAUGGGAAAGUCUUCACUUUCCAGGGGAAAUUUUUUGUAAGCUUUUGCCUGGGAAGGCUGCGUCUUUGGUUUCCCAGGAAGCAUCACAGGUCUCCAUGUAGAGGCCCCCACCACUGCUUUAUAGGCUGGGCCUUUGCCACAAAUUCAUGUUUCCCAUGAUUCAGGAGGAAAUUAGCUUGCUGGCUAAGUGUGUAGGCUCUGGAGCCAAAUGGCCGGGGUUCACAGUAGCUUCGUGAAACCUGUCAGCAAGUGAUCUCAGAUAGAAGUCGGUAAUUCACUGUGCCACCGCUGCCUCUUCAACUGUUCAGUGACAAGGAACGAUGUUAGCACCUGUCUUAUGAGACUAUUGUAAGGGCCCAGUGAGUUUCUGUCCGUAAGGCCCCUGGAGGGCAGUGUGUAUGUCAGCUGCACUUUGCAGCCAUCUUGAGAGCAUUCUGUAUCUCAGUACUAUCAAUUCUCGGGUCCCAUCACCAGAGAUCAGGUUCAACAGAUCUCAUGUGUGUCCCAACACCGGAGUUCUUUGCAUCCACUCUGGUGACUUCAAGUGCACAUGGCUCGGAGGCACAAGCCUCCGAGAAAGGAGCUUGGUAAUAAA
rnacentral:lncRNA from 1 species